UGCCUGGUAGUGGGGGACAACGUUUCGAAAGGAACGCUAAUACCGCAUACGUCCUACGGGAGAAAGCAGGGGACCUUCGGGCCUUGCGCUAUCAGAUGAGCCUAGGUCGGAUUAGCUAGUUGGUGAGGUAAUGGCUCACCAAGGCGACGAUCCGUAACUGGUCUGAGAGGAUGAUCAGUCACACUGGAACUGAGACACGGUCCAGACUCCUACGGGAGGCAGCAGUGGGGAAUAUUGGACAAUGGGCGAAAGCCUGAUCCAGCCAUGCCGCGUGUGUGAAGAAGGUCUUCGGAUUGUAAAGCACUUUAAGUUGGGAGGAAGGGUUGUAGAUUAAUACUCUGCAAUUUUGACGUUACCGACAGAAUAAGCACCGGCUAACUCUGUGCCAGCAGCCGCGGUAAUACAGAGGGUGCAAGCGUUAAUCGGAAUUACUGGGCGUAAAGCGCGCGUAGGUGGUUUGUUAAGUUGGAU
rnacentral:rRNA from 1 species